UACGGAGGGUGCAAACGUUGCUCGGAAUCAUUGGGCGUAAAGCGCACGUAGGCGGCCUGUUAAGUCGGGUGUGAAAUCCCUCGGCUCAACCGAGGAAGUGCAUUCGAAACUAGCAGGCUUGAAUGUGGAAGAGGGUCGUGGAAUUCCCGGUGUAGAGGUGAAAUUCGUAGAUAUCGGGAGGAACACCAGUGGCGAAGGCGGCGACCUGGGCCAACAUUGACGCUGAGGUGCGAAAGCGUGGGGAGC
rnacentral:rRNA from 1 species